rnacentral:lncRNA from 1 species
UUUGCCCUGUCCUACCUUCUUCUCAAGAAAGCUCAGCUUCUAUGUCUCCUGAGAGCUGUCUUUAUCCCUACAAUGUAGGAAUUACUUCACUUGAAUCAACUUUCCUUUUGGUUGGAUUCAUAAUUGAUAGUUGGGACAGACUACGAGAGAGUGCCAAUACAAGAGUGCGCAGGGUCUGGCUAUACGAGAGUGCGUAGCCUAUUGAACUGCCAAUACGAGACAAGAGGAUUCAGAAGCAAAGAUAAUCGAAAUAUAAAGCAAGGUCUGGAUUGAGAGUGCACAGGCAAUGCUUCACAUCCUGCUCGCCAUUUACUCAUGUUUCUGAAAAUAAAUCAUGUGACUGGUUAAAAAUUAAUACUAGCUAUUAGAAGGUAUCUAUAAUCAUAAUAUACUUUUAUUUAUGUAAUUG